rnacentral:lncRNA from 1 species
CUAUUCAGGCAUAAGUGUUUCAAAGGAAAGGAAACUGUAACCAAUGCUAAUGCUAAUAUUAUGCCUGCAAGAAAGAUGUCAGUGGAUAUAUAAUCGAAUAAUAAAUGCUCAUGCAUGCAUGCUUGUUUCAUAACUUUACUUUGGCUUUUACCCAGUCUUGCCAGUUAACCUUGUUAACCCUAAUAACUCACAACCCGAAAUCCCUUAAUAACGGGGGACUCGAACCACCCUAGGGACCGUCCUCUAGGGGGACUUUACCACGCCCAGUGGUGACCAACUCCGUAACGCACCGCUCGAGGGGGAGCUACCUCCCUCAAGCCAAGACUUAUCGUGAGUAUCGAUCCAAUCCUCAACUUGAGGAUACAUAGCCACUAGUCACAAUGCCAUUGUCAUAAUAGGUUUCUACCUAUUUGUUCAUGCUACUUUCUAAGUCAUACUUGUCACAAUGUCACUA